CUUAAACCCUCUGUUUCACAACAAUUGGAAGAAGUCCCAAAACCCUAAUAAGAGUGCCCCCAAAUCCAUGUCGGAAAAUCUGAAGCACUCACUAGAGAGUUGCUCCCAAUCUCCCGAAAGGGCUUCAAAGAUUUCCAAAACCAGGGAGGAGCAAGAAGCAGAACCGAUGAGCCAGCCCUCCGGAAGACAACGCUAUCUGAUCGCAAUAGAGUACAUUGGUACUCGCUUCUCCGGCUCUCAGCAACAGUCCAAUUGCCGCACUGUAGUUGGCGUUCUUGAGGAGGCUUUUCGUAAAUUUAUUGGGCAGCCGGUGGCAAUCUUCUGCUCAAGUCGAACUGAUGCAGGAGUCCAUGCCUUAUCCAAUGUUUGUCAUGUAGAUAUUGAGCGCAUAAGCAAAAGAAAGCCUGGUGAAGUGUUACCACCUCAUGAACCUACAGUGGUCCAAAAAGCUGUAAACCAUUUCUUACAGAAGAAUGAAGGUGAUGUAAUGGUGGUGGAUGUACGAAAAGUUCCAGCUGAUUUUCAUGCUAGAUUUAAAGCCCAAGAACGCACGUACUUCUAUCGCUUGCUAUCUGGACCGGAGCCUUUAUCAAUCUUCGAAAAAGACCGCGCAUGGCAUGUACCUGAGGAUCUGGAUAUUUUGGCUAUGCAGGAAGCCUGCAAAAUUCUGGUUGGACACCAUGAUUUUAGUUCCUUUAGAGCAGCAGGUUGUCAGGCGAAGUCACCGAUCAGAACACUAGAUGAGUUGAAUGUGUCUGAGGUUAUCUCAACUCCAAACUUUCCAACAAUACCAGAGAGGAAAAGCAAUUUAGUGCAGGAAGAUACUCAUUGCACCAACAAAUCUGAGACCAACUGCCACCCUAGUUUCAAUGGCGGAACUUAUCAAGGAUUUGGCUUGAGAAAAAAACACAGAUGCUUUGUGGUAACAGCUCGGGCACGUGCUUUUCUAUACCACCAGGUAAGACUGCUUGUUGGUGUCCUCAAAUGUGUUGGAACUGGAGAUCUAAAAAUACCCGACGUGGAGAGGAUCUUGAAUGCAAAGACAGUGACUGCUGCUAGCCCCAUGGCACCUGCUUGUGGUCUAUAUCUUGGACAUGUGAGAUACGAUUUGCCAUGAGACCAAAACUCGAGCUCAAUCGUUUAUAUUUAUGAUGGACUUGUGAAUCUUGAAGAAGACAUUUGUGUGAUUGAGAUAGCAUUCGGGGAGUUACCAGUACCAGUGGGUGAAAUUUUAACCACUUUCCCUUUCAGCCCUCCUUUAGUUUAUCCAGAAAGUGGAUACUCUUCAAUACAGAGUGCAGUACGUUUGUGAGAUUGACAAUUGACAAGAUAGUUCCGUGCAACUCAAACUUCAAUUUUUUUUUUUUUUUUUGUAUAUCAAUGGAGGAGGCCAGGAGGGGCAUUGAACUGAGACUUCACCCAACGUUGUGUUAAAGAUAACCUGAUACACUGAACUAAUUGACUCGUGCAACUAUAGUUGAAUGGAUUUCUCAUUUUUUACGAAGAGAAGUUAUA